rnacentral:rRNA from 1 species
AUUGAACGCUGGCGGCAGGCCUAACACAUGCAAGUCGAGCGGAUGAAGGGAGCUUGCUCCUGGAUUCCGCGGCGGACGGGUGAGUAAUGCCUAGGAAUCUGCCUGGUCGUGGGGGAUAACGUCCGGAAACGGGCGCUAAUACCGCAUACGUCCUGAGGGAGAAAGUGGGGGAUCUUCGGACCUCACGCUAUCAGAUGAGCCUAGGUCGGAUUAGCUAGUUGGUGGGGUAAAGGCCUACCAAGGCGACGAUCCGUAACUGGUCUGAGAGGAUGAUCAGUCACACUGGAACUGAGACACGGUCCAGACUCCUACGGGAGGCCGCAGUGGGGAAUAUUUGACAAAGGGCGAAAGCCUGAUCCAGCCAUGCCGCGUGUGUGAAGAAGGUCUUCGGAUUGUAAAGCACUUUAAGUUGGGAGGAAGGGCAGUAAGUUAAUACCUUGCUGUUUUGACGGGACCAACAGAAUAAGCACCGGCUAACUUCGUG